rnacentral:rRNA from 1 species
AUUAAAACAAAACAGGUAGUAAUAAUUUAUUAAAAAACCAUUAUAAAAUGGCGGCAUCUAAUCUAGUUAGAGGAACAUGUCUUUUAAUCGAUGACACACGAUAAUUUUCACUUAAAUUAAAAUUUUAUAUACCUCCGUCCUAAGAAUUUUUUCAAAAUUUAUUCAAAAUAAAAAUCUAACAAGAUAGGUAAAGGUGUAAACUAUAUUUAAGAUAUUUAUGUGUUACAUUAAAAACAAUUUAAAAAAGACUAGCUUCAAUUCAUUCGAGAAAAGGAUUUAAAAGUAAAAGAUAAAUAAUAUUUAUCCUUGAACUAGCUAAUAAAUGUGU